rnacentral:lncRNA from 1 species
GCGGAAGGACCGCCCCUUCCCACCCCAGGAAGAAUAGGGGCUGCAAACUGAGCUCUGGGGUCGCUGUCUCCUUUUAUCCAGCAUACACUUGUGCAAUCUGAUAAGCCUAAAUUGAUCAAGGCUCGGUCCCUGGAAGAAGUGGACACUUUAAGCCUCUGCGUCUUCAUUUAAGUAGAGAUCGUGACCGACGUACCUCCCGCGAUUCUGGAUUUAUUUCACAGUAACUAGGUUUAUUUCACCAAGAUAGUUUGGUAUGUGAUGUAUCAGGCGCUUCAUGGGUGAGCGGUGGGAGGUGAUGGCUGUCACUACGUGGUGAUCCGCGGUGCUCGCUCCACUGAAGGUCCUCCGCGUGCAGUGGUUCCGGCCACGCCCACCCUCAGCUUGCGGGUGUUAGCCUCCGAACCCGAGCCCAAAACCGCUGAGUCUUCGGGUCCCGCCCCCGCUUCCCUGCAAAAUGCCCGGUUAGAGCAGAAGCCUCUCUGCGUGAACUGUCUUCCUCAGCUUGGACCGGUCCGAAGCAGAAGGCUCAUUGCCAAGAGGAAACCCAGUCCUGUUGCUCUGGGGAGUCUUCAGGCUGAGCUGACGGCAGGAGGCUGCCGGUUACCACCCAUCCCCUUAAGACUCCUUCCAACUCAGACUCCAAGAUUCCACAACUUCCCCAAGGCCCCAGCACUCAGUCAUCACAAACAACUGCAGAACAGCAACUCAAACUUCACUGCACCCCAGUCGCUGAUCUCAGCUGAAGGAUUAAGUUUCACAGAUCCUAGCUGCCGGCCAAGGGAAGCACAGCCCUCUGCCCAAGCCAAGUCAUCCUGACCUGUCCCCUUCCCGAGAGCGUGGCUGCCGCCAGGACCUGGCCUACCAGUCACAGUAGGUACCAAGCCCUCCCCUUGGCCUCUCAACUCCUGGGCUAAUGGCUAACAUUCUCAGCACUGUUGCCCAAAACUGUCUCCCCCAGGUGCCACAUUCACCAGUGAUCAAUCAGC